UUCAACAGGCCGGGGUAUACAGGAUACAGGAUAUCAGAAGGCCCAGUCUUUGUUCUGCCAGACUGUGAGGCCCAACAAAUUUUAUGCUAUCAAGAAAGAAAUUAAUUUAUAUAUUUAAAUGAUAACUUGAGCAAAAAACAAGAGAGCUAUUAAAAUUGUGACAUUGUAGCCUACUCCCAAGUAGGCUACCUAUGUAAAGUAAUAAUAUAAAUGAUUUGUUAAAAAGCAGCCACCUGUCAUUAUGUUAUAUUCACACCAACAAGAACUCUAGCCCAACCCUGCUUUCAUGACUCAGUUUAGAUGCAUUCACUUAACAUUGGAGUCAUUUGCCACACUGAUAGUUUGUCGAUAGUAAUGAAAGAACAGUCUUUAGCCUUGCUUAAUAAUUGAAUCUGUCACUUUGAUGAGUAGGUGUUUUCAAUUCAAUCGCCGUCUUUCAACAUUCAGCUGCUUCAUCAAAUGGUGUGUUCAUAGCAGCUGAGUCCUGUCAACCCAUUAAGAUAAUUAAGAAUCCCAGGAACCAGGUCUCUGGAAGUCUCAGACAAUGCUUGACCAGAUUCGUAUUCUCCAGAAGCAUCAUCAGACAACAGGAGCAGUCAAGACUCAGGAGACGAUGACUGCAGCAUGCAAUCCUGUGUUACCUACAGAUUGACCUUUCACCAGUACAUACAACCCUCAAUCUCCAUGUGCCAGUCCUUGCUGUGUACUUUGAUGGCCAGAAGGACCUCUAUCUGACUACAGCUGAGCAGACAGUCCAUGGAGGCCUUAGUAAGGAUUCUGCCAUCACACAAGGCUGCUCACAUGAGGUGCAUUUAUUGAUUAUUAUGUACUGGCUGGCUCUCUGCUUGUCAUACAGUGUGGUGUCCUGGGCCUUUCAUGUUCCCAAGUCUACAGUUGGCAGACUGCUGCAAACCAGAGUGGAGAAGAUCCCUUCGCCAGGAGAUCAUCAGACUGCCAACUGCUGGAACACUGGGUGAGGUUGGCCAGGCAGUUGCACGGCUGGCUAACACAGCAGAUAUGGCCAGCGAGACCGACUGGAAGGGCUUCUCUCUGCUCCACGUGUGCACCCUGUGGAGCUGCAAGAACACAAUUAUUUGUAGACCUUGGGGACAGGAAGACCUGGGACAAAGGCCUACACUUUAUGACAAACCGUGUUUCAUAAAGCUCUUUUUGUUUUAGUGUAUAUUCCUAAGUUCUUAAAUUUUAGUUGUGCUACGCAUGUCUUUUCACUACCUUGUACAAGGAAGAGGCCUUUGUUUGUUAUGCGGUUGCAGUCAUUAUAGCCUAUUUAAAUGGAUUCUGUUUGCACUCAAACUCCUGAAAAUGUCCUGUACACUUAAUUGAAAAGACAACUGCAUGUAUAUAAGUUCUAUGUGCUGCCUGAUGCUAAAUGUAGAAGGGCACAAAGGUUAAAAUAUAAUGUACCCUGAGUAAUUGAUCAGCUAUGUGUAUGCACAAUCUAGUACAUUAAAUUACUGAGUUUGGA